rnacentral:rRNA from 1 species
UGGGGAAUUUUGGACAAUGGGCGAAAGCCUGAUCCAGCAAUGCCGCGUGUGUGAAGAAGGCCUUCGGGUUGUAAAGCACUUUUGUCCGGAAAGAAAUCCUUGGCUCUAAUACAGUCGGGGGAUGACGGUACCGGAAGAAUAAGCACCGGCUAACUACGUGCCAGCAGCCGCGGUAAUACGUAGGGUGCAAGCGUUAAUCGGAAUUACUGGGCGUAAAGCGUGCGCAGGCGGUUUGCUAAGACCGAUGUGAAAUCCCCGGGCUCAACCUGGGAACUGCAUUGGUGACUGGCAGGCUAGAGUAUGGCAGAGGGGGGUAGAAUUCCACGUGUAGCAGUGAAAUGCGUAGAGAUGUGGAGGAAUACCGAUGGCGAAGGCAGCCCCCUGGGCCAAUACUGACGCUCAUGCACGAAAACGUGGGGAGCAAACAGGAUUAGAUACCCUGGUAGUCCACGCCCUAAACGAUGUCAACUAGUUGUUGGGGAUUCAUUUCCUUAGUAACGUAGCUAACGCGUGAAGUUGACCGCCUGGGGAGUACGGUCGCAAGAUU